rnacentral:lncRNA from 1 species
ACAGAAUGCUUAGGCCUUAGUCCCCUCCGGACAGGCGUGGGGGGCGGGCCGGCCUCGCUGCCCUUCUCCCGGCUGUUUGGAAACUUGUCACCCUUAGCAGGGUCGUGGCGCUGCCGUCCUAGAUGGUGCCUGAAGAGAAAGCUGGCACGGGAGUUAACCGGGUUUUAUUUCAGUUGAAGAGUUGGGGAGAUUUACUGCAGGCUGGCUCCAUCCGACACCCUCCCAGGUGGUCACUGCAACCUGUCACUUCCUUCUCCCUGCGGCCACUUUGGAUUCCCCGGAGAGUCCGGUCACCUCUGUGCUUGGUACCUGGAUCCUCCAGCAAGGCUCCGCCCACCAAGGCACUUCAUACUCACUUUCUCCUUGUUAGGCAACGGGAACGAGAAACAUGGUCUCCACUGUUCCUGCCCUCAGGGGUGUCAACCUAACCUUAGAACAGAAGAGAGUGAAAAGGCCGGGAGCAUCAGGCCAGGUUUGGAAUGUAUGCCAAGGUUACCCUCAGUAAGGGAGCUGACGUUACAGUGUAAUGAGUGAACUCCUCUGAUGUCUUUGAAACUUUUAAGUAAACCUAAAAGCCCAGAAUAAAAAGGGAACUGUAAAAGUCUGAGGA